rnacentral:rRNA from 1 species
AUUGAACGCUGGCGGCAGGCCUAACACAUGCAAGUCGAGCGGAUGAGGGGAGCUUGCUCCUGGAUUCAGCGGCGGACGGGUGAGUAAUGCCUAGGAAUCUGCCUGGCUGUGGGGGAUAACGUCCGGAAACGGGCGCUAAUACCGCAUACGUCCUGAGGGUGAAAGUGGGGGAUCUUCGGACCUCACGCUAUCAGAUGAGCCUAGGUCGGAUUAGCUAGUUGGUGGGGUAAAGGCCUACCAAGGCGACGAUCCGUAACUGGUCUGAGAGGAUGAUCAGUCACACUGGAACUGAGACACGGUCCAGACUCCUACGGGAGGCAGCAGUGGGGAAUAUUGGACAAUGGGCGAAAGCCUGAUCCAGCCAUGCCGCGUGUGUGAAGAAGGUCUUCGGAUUGUAAAGCACUUUAAGUUGGGAGGAAGGGCAGUAAGUUAAUACCUUGCUGUUUUGACGUUACCAACAGAAUAAGCACCGGCUAACUUCGUG